CAGCGACCGACUGACGGAAGAGCCGGCGUAGCUAGGAAUGCGCCUUGCUCCGGAAUGCGCUCGACUGCUUUUCCUAACGGCGAGUCCCGCCAACAACUGCGAUCGGUUGGCUCGAGUGCAACGUCUUGGCUCUAUAAAUUUACGAGGAGG